GAACCCGUGGCGCAGUGGUAGCGCGUGUGAUUCCAGUGCACUCCUGGUUAUGUGAUUGAAUAUCCACAAGGUCAUCCGUUCAAUCCGGGUCGGGUUCA